GACGAACGCUGGCGGCGUGCCUAAUACAUGCAAGUUGAGCGAUGAAGAUUGGUGCUUGCACCAAUUUGAAGAGCAGCGAACGGGUGAGUAACGCGUGGGGAAUCUGCCUUUGAGCGGGGGACAACAUUUGGAAACGAAUGCUAAUACCGCAUAACAACUUUAAACAUAAGUUUUAAGUUUGAAAGAUGCAAUUGCAUCACUCAAAGAUGAUCCCGCGUUGUAUUAGCUAGUUGGUGAGGUAAAGGCUCACCAAGGCGAUGAUACAUAGCCGACCUGAGAGGGUGAUCGGCCACAUUGGGACGGAGACACGGCCCAAACUCCUACGGGAGGCAGCAGUAGGGAAUCUUCGGCAAUGGACGAAAGUCUGACCGAGCAACGCCGCGUGAGUGAAGAAGGUUUUCGGAUCGUAAAACUCUGUUGGUAGAGAAGAACGUUGGUGAGAGUGGAAAGCUCAUCAAGUGACGGUAACUAACCAGAAAGGGACGGCUAACUACGUG
rnacentral:rRNA from 1 species